rnacentral:rRNA from 1 species
UACGUAGGUGGCAAGCGUUGUCCGGAUUUACUGGGCGUAAAGAGCGCGCAGGCGGUCGUUCAAGUCGCGUGUGAAAGCCCCCCGGCUCAACUGGGGAGGGUCACGCGAUACUGAUCGACUCGAAGGCAGGAGAGGGUAGUGGAAUUCCCGGUGUAGUGGUGAAAUGCGUAGAUAUCGGGAGGAACACCAGUGGCGAAGGCGACUACCUGGCCUGUUCUUGACGCUGAGGCGCGAAAGCUAGGGGAGCAAACGGGG